GUGAGGUAGUGGCUCACCGUGGCGAUGACGGGUAGCCGGCCUGAGAGGGUGACCGGCCACACUGGGACUGAGACACGGCCCAGACUCCUACGGGAGGCAGCAGUGGGGAAUAUUGCACAAUGGGCGAAAGCCUGAUGCAGCGACGCCGCGUGCGGGAUGACGGCCUUCGGGUUGUAAACCGCUUUCAGCAGGGAAGAAGCGCAAGUGACGGUACCUGCAGAAGAAGCGCCGGCUAACUACGUGCCAGCAGCCGCGGUAAUACGUAGGGCGCGAGCGUUAUCCGGAAUUAUUGGGCGUAAAGAGCUCGUAGGCGGUUUGCCGCGUCUGCUGUGAAAGCCCGGGGCUUAACCCCGGGUGUGCAGUGGGUACGGGCAGACUAGAGUGCAGUAGGGGAGACUGGAAUUCCUGGUGUAGCGGUGAAAUGCGCAGAUAUCAGGAGGAACACCGAUGGCGAAGGCAGGUCUCUGGGCUGUUACUGACGCUGAGGAGCGAAAGCAUGGGGAGCGAACAGGAUUAGAUACCCUGGUAGUCCAUGCCGUAAACGUUGGGCACUAGGUGUGGGGGACAUUCCACGUUUUCCGCGCCGUAGCUAACGCAUUAAGUG
rnacentral:rRNA from 1 species